UAUAUGAAGCUAUAGAUAGAGCAAAGUUGGCAAUUAAAAGAGAUUGUCGCUACUACACUGAGUAUUGGAAAAUUAUUGAUACUCGAUGGUCUUUUCAAUUGCAUCAAGAUUUGCAUGUGGCUGGUAAGUGUUACGAUUUCAAUUAUAAAAUGUAUAUUUAUUUACAAUUAUUAAUUGCCUUCUUAUUUUUGAAGGAUAUUUUUUAAAUCCUCAAUUCCAAUAUGGUGUUACCUCAUCCAAUGAAAUGAUAAGAGAAGUGAUGGAUGGACUUAAAAAAGUAAUUACCAGACUGGAGCCUAAUAUGGAUGCUCAAGUGAAAGCAACAAAUCAACUGAGUGGUGGAUUAUUCAUGGCAGUUGUGCUCCUGAA